UACGUAGGCAGCGAGCGUUGUUCGGAGUUACUGGGCGUAAAGAGUGCGUAGGCGGUUUUCCAAGUUUGGUGUGAAAUCUCCCGGCUCAACUGGGAGGGUGCGCCGAAGACUGGAAGGCUUGAGUAUGGGAGAGGUAAGCGGAAUUCCUGGUGUAGCGGUGAAAUGCGUAGAUAUCAGGAGGAACACCUGCGGUGUAGACGGCUUACUGGACCAUAACUGACGCUGAGGCACGAAAGCGUGGGUAGCAAACAGG
rnacentral:rRNA from 1 species